rnacentral:rRNA from 1 species
UACGUAGGUGACAAGCGUUGUCCGGAUUUACUGGGCGUAAAGAGCGCGCAGGCGGUCGAUCAAGUCGAGUGUGAAAGCCCCCGGCUCAACUGGGGAGGGUCACGCGAUACUGGUCGACUCGAAGGCAGGAGAGGGUAGUGGAAUUCCUGGUGUAGCGGUGAAAUGCGCAGAUAUCAGGAAGAACACCCGUGGCGAAGGCGGUUCUCUGGGACGGUACUGACGCUGAGACGCGAAAGCGUGGGGAGCGAACAGG